CAGAGUCGUAAAACACUCCCAAACCCAUGUGAACUUACCUUUGUUGCCUCGGCAGGACCUACCCGGGACCUACCCUGUAGCCUGCCGGUGGACUACUCAACUCUUGUUAUUUUAUAUAAAUCUGAGCGUCUUAUUUAAUAAGUCA
rnacentral:misc_RNA from 1 species